GAAUGCUGACAUAAGUAACGAUAAAGCGGGUGAAAAGCCCGCUCGCCGGAAGACCAAGGGUUCCUGUCCAACGUUAAUCGGGGCAGGGUGAGUCGACCCCUAAGGCGAGGCCGAAAGGCGUAGUCGAUGGGAAACAGGUUAAUAUUCCUGUACUUGGUGUUACUGCGAAGGGGGGACGGAGAAGGCUAUGUUGGCCGGGCGACGGUUGUCCCGGUUUAAGCGUGUAGGCUGGUUUUCCAGGCAAAUCCGGAAAACCAAGGCUGAGGCGUGAUGACGAGGCACUACGGUGCUGAAGCGACAAAUGCCCUGCUUCCAGGAAAAGCCUCUAAGCAUCAGGUAACAUCAAAUCGUACCCCAAACCGACACAGGUGGUCAGGUAGAGAAUA
rnacentral:rRNA from 1 species